GUCAGGACAGAUAUAUGUCUUUUCAUUUGAUUAUAGGUAUGAGCAGUCCUCCAGCUCCAUCUACUGGACACCUGUAGAUAUUUCCUGGUGUUAGUUAUUUGUUUAAUAAAGUUAGCUAUUGACCCCUGAUGUCAUAACUCCAGGUCACAGGAAGUAGGUGUUUUUCAGCCUGUGCAGUUUAUCUCAUGUGCUCUCAGCUUCCUCCGUGCUAAACAGGCCCUAUGCAGCAUUGUUGGUGAGUGUAUACAGUUUUACUUGCUUAAUAUACUCAGCUUCUGCAUCUGAGAGAGAGAGGUUUGUUUCUGUUUGAUAGCAGAUUUAUUACAUCUGUGUAAUGUAUAUGUAUGCAUAUUGUUUCAUCAGCAGAGACACUUAUACCCUUUUUAUUUGUAUGUAUUUCAGUUUUACCCUUUCAUCUUCAAAUACUCAUUAAACAAGUUAACAACUUACACAGUGUGGUGUUUUGAAGAAGGGUUAUCUGCCUGUCAAUCUUACUUCAGACAGUGAGCAGGACAGAACAGUAGACAACACCACGCAUAGCUGAUGCAAUACAGCACAGUAAAACAACAGCUUGUAUCAAGAGGCCCACACGCAGAGUGGAUUAGCAAGUACCACAAAGAUACAGUACAGCUUCAGUUAACAUAGUACCACGUGCUAACUCUUAUCAAGAUUAGACAGCAAGAUGUCUGAACGAUCAAUCAAAACCAGAUCUAGGGUGUCACAUUCAUCCAGACUCUCAAACCGCUCCCAGGUAUCUGACGCUGCGCUUCUCCGCGCAGAAGCUGCCGCUGCACUAGCUCAACUCACAUUUACUGGGAAGGAAACAGAGCUAAAAUUAGAGAAGACACGCUUAGAAGCUUCAAUAGAGAUUCUUAACUUACAUAAGACGGUGGCAAUCGCAAAUGCCAAAGCAGAUGCAUUAGAUGCAGCUCUUGACACUACAGAACAAGCAAGUCAGAAAUUCACUAUGCAGCCUGAUGUAAAACCAGAAACUGCUAUGCAACGUACCAAAGAAUAUGUGCUGAAACAUUCACAGGAGUACAGUCCAUCAAUGCCAAGCCUAGAAAAGCUUAGUGAGUACAGAGACAGUGAUGUUAUCCCAUCAUCUGAGCAAAAUCAUAGUAUACCUCUCCAGAACAUUCCCUUACAAUGUGACUACAUCUCACCACCAGAUGGUGCUCUGUUACAAGAACAAAAGGAUUUCAAACAAUUGUAUCCUGUUAAUGUGAAAACUCCUGCAGCCAGAGACUAUAAUGACAUUCAGUGGACUUUACCUGUUACUAAUAAAUACAGCUAUCCUCCUGUUACACGACCAAGGGUUCCUGAUAGAGACAGUCAUUCUCCAGAGGGAUCAUACCAGCACACACCAGAUGUGAAGCCAGCGCUCCCUAUUAAGCCUGAUUCAAACCAACUCACUGGCGAUCAACAGAUGUCAGACUUAGUGAGAUUUAUGGCACGCAGAGAAAUGAUAACAUCAGGUCUUGUUCAGUUUGACGAGAAACCAGAAAACUACAGGGCUUGGAAGGUGUCAUUUAAAAAUGCUAUAGAAGACCUUCACCUUUCAUACAAAGAAGAAACAGAUCUCCUAGUGAAGUGGCUAGGUCCAGAGUCCAGCAGACAAGUGAAAGGCAUUCGGGCAGUAUAUGUCAAUGAUUCUUGUAAAGGACUACAGAUGUCAUGGCAAAGGUUGAACGAAGAGUAUGGAGCUCCAGAGAAGAUAGAAAAAUCCCUGUGGGACAGGAUUGACAACUUUGGGAAUAUCUUUGAAAGAGAUUGCAGAAAGAAACUUAGAGAAUUCAGUGAUCUGGUAAUAGAACUGUUGGCAGCAAAAAAUGAAGGGUGCUUUCUAGGACUAGGUAAUCUUGAUUCCGCCAGAGGAAUAGAAGACCUUGUAAAAAAGCUGCCAGAUUCUCUAAAAAGGAAAUGGGCAUCACAUGGGACAAAGUACAAGGAAAUACAUAAUGUACUAUUCCCGCCAUUCUCUUAUUUCGUGCAAUUUAUCUCUCAACAAGCAAAGAUGUACAAUGACCCAGGUUUUGCUCAGACGUUCCAGACCUUUGGUGACAACAAGCCAGAGAAAUACCGCUACAAGAACACCCCUCAGAGAAGCUCCAUCAGGGUGCACAAGACUGAAGUAUCUCAAGCUACAGGAAACUCUUCUGCUUUCACUGAUGCUAAGACCAUGGACUUAACAAAAGGAUGUCCGAUUCACCACAAACCUCAUCCUCUGUACAAAUGCCGAGGCUUCAGAGGUAAGUCCCUUGAUGAGAGAAAGACUCUCUUAAAACAAAACAACAUUUGUUACCGUUGCUGUGCCUCAAAUGCACACCUUGCGAAAGACUGUGACAAACCAGUUAGCUGCACAGAGUGCAACAGUGACAGACACGUGUCUGCUCUUCAUCCUGGUCCUGCACCAUGGUCAGUCAGGCCGCCAGAAGGGAGUGAUCAUGGCGGGGAGGGAAAGGACAACGGUGCAGAGGCUACAGUAACUACAACAUGUACCGAAGUGUGUGGAGGAGACCUUCGAGACAGAUCAUGCUCUAAAAUCUGUUUAGUAAGUGUCUAUCCUACAGGACAAAAGAACAGAGCAAUCAAACUUUAUGCUAUUCUAGAUGACCAAAGUAAUAGGUCCCUGGUCAGGUCAGAGUUCUUUGAAAUCUUCGGGUCAAAAGGCCAGCAGUUUCCAUAUUCUCUCAGAACCUGUGCAGGGGUGAUUAACACUUCAGGAAGAAGAGCGCAAGGGUUUGAACUACAGUCUCUUGAUGGCAAAACCACAAUCUCAUUACCCACACUCAUUGAAUGUAAUGAGAUACCGAACGACCGGACGGAGAUCCCAACCCCUGAGGUGGCUCUUCAUCACAAUCAUCUAAAGUCACUUGCUAGUGAGAUACCCAAACUUGAUCCAUCAGCAUCUAUCCUUAUGCUGUUAGGAAGAGACAUAAUUAGGGUCCAUAAAGUGAGGCAACAGAUCAACGGACCACAUAACGCUCCUUAUGCACACAGAUUAGACACAGGAUGGGUCAUAGUGGGCAAUGUAUGCCUGAAAGGAGUCCAUAGACCAGACUUAGUACACUGUCUUUACACCAGAACCUCAGAAGAGAGCUGCAGAUCCCUCUUUCCACCUUGUCCAUACUUCUACAAUGUAAGGGAAAACUAUGACAUGAAUGUAUGUGUAACCAUGCAAUCCUCAGUGUCUACGUACAAAUCCUCUUGCAAAGAGUUUGAGGAUCAUGUAAGCCACAGUAUCUUUCAGAGAACAACAGAAGAUGAGACGGUUGCUCCUUCUCUGGAAGAUCUAGCCUUUAUGAAAACAAUGAACGAGGGUUUCUACAGAGCAGAAGACAGUAGUUGGGUAGCUCCUUUACCCUUCAAACCACAAAGAAAGCAGCUACCAAAUAACAAAGAACAAGUCUUGCAACGUUUCAGGUCCUUACAGAGGUCUUUUAAAGUAAAACCUGACAUGAGACAGCAUUUCUUUGAAUUUAUGGGAAAGGUAAUCCAAAAUGGCCACGCAGAGAUAGCGCCACCUCUCAAUCCAAGAGAAGAGUGUUGGUAUCUGUCUCUCUUUGGAGUCUACCACCCCAAGAAACCCCAACAGAUUAGAGUUGUCUUUGAUUCAAGUGCACAGUGUUGUGGGGUAUCCCUGAAUGACAUUCUGUUGAAAGGCCCAGACCUAAAUAAUAACCUCCUUGGUGUGUUGUUACGCUUUCGCAAGGACACCAUUGCAUUCAUGGCUGAUAUCCAACAGAUGUUCUACUGUUUUCUAGUUAGACCUGAAGACAGAAAUUACUUAAGGUUCUUCUGGCACAAAGACAACGACCCUGCACAAGACAUCAUAGAAUGGAGAAUGAAAGUACAUAUCUUUGGUAACAGACCUUCUCCAGCAGUGGCCAUAUAUGGUCUUAAACAAGCAGCUUGUCAGGAAGAAAAGGAGUUUGGUGCAGACGCUAAAAGAUUUGUAAAAAAAGACUUUUACGUGGAUGAUGGUCUGAAGUCAGUACCCACUGCAGCUGAAGCCAUUGACCUCUUGAACAGAACCAGGAAAAUGCUAGCAUGUUCAAAUCUCCGCUUACAUAAGAUAGCAUCAAAUAGCAGUGAUGUAAUGGCUGCUUUUUCUUCUGAAGAUCACGCAACAGACUUAAAAGAUCUCAAUUUCAAUGAUGAUGAUUUACCCAUGCAAAGAAGCUUAGGCAUCUGCUGGGAUCUUAAAAGCGAUUCCCUGACCUUCCAGGUGUCAUCAGAGAAAAGACCCUUCACACGAAGAGGAGUCCUCUCUACAAUAAACAGUUUGUAUGACCCUUUGGGGAUAGCUGCACCAGUAACCAUUCAAGGGAAAGCUCUUCUUCGUGAUCUCACCUCGGAGACUCAAGAUUGGGAUGCACCCCUACCUGAAGAUGCCUCCACGCAAGCAAUUGCAGCAGUGGCCUACUUAAAGGCGAUAGAUUCUGAAAGUCAGGUCCACAUAGGUUUUGUGCUAGGAAAAGCUAAAUUAGCUCCAUGUCCGGAACUUACAGUCCCACGACUUGAACUCUGUGCAGCAGUCCUCGCAGUAGAUAUAGCUGAAUUCAUAACAAAAUAAAUCGACACAAAUAUAGACUCUGUCAGCUACUUCACAGACAGCAGAAUAGUUUUAGGCUACAUUUGCAAUGAAAAAAGAAGAUUUUAUGUCUUUGUUAGCAACAGAGUUCAGCGAAUAAGAAGAUCCUCUCUCCCUGAACAAUGGCACUAUGUGUCAACAGAGAGCAAUCCAGCUAAUCUGGCCACAAGAUCUGUAUCAGCAGCACACCUGAAAGAUACUAUGUGGUUCACAGGUCCACCCUUCUUGAGUCAUUCUCACCACUUGAAACUAGAGACUGAAACCUUUACAUUAGUGGAUCCGGCUCAAGAUACAGAGAUUCGUCCACAAGUUACAACCUUGAGUACAACAUCCAAAGAUAAAGAACUCGGGUCUGAACGUUUUUGCAGGUUCUCUAGCUGGAAUACUUUGACUAGAGCAUUAGCACGCCUCAUUCAUGUAGCUCAUCUGUUCAAACAAAAAGGAGACAGCCAACUUGAUCAUUGUAAGGGCUGGCACCUUUGCAGAGAACUAAACUGGGUGCAUGACUUUAAGAAAGCUAGAUCAGAAUGUUCAAAAAGAGACUUUUGCAAAAGAAAUACAGAGCAUUGUAGAAAAGGAAGGCAUGCCAAAUGAUAGUCCUCUCAGAGCAUUGGACCCUUUCAUAGAUGAAAAUAGACUACUGAGAGUAGGUGGUCGUUUGAGAAAUGCAGACCUAGGACCAGAGGAGAGAAAUCCAAUUAUUGUGCCUGGUCAUCACUACAUAGCUACCCUCAUUGCUCAUCACUAUCACAUCCAGUCAACAAACCAAGAGGAAUGAAUGGCCUAUGGGUGGUGUAACAAAGACUUUCCCUGAUAAAGAUGGCAAAGUUCGCAAAGUGGAAAUAAAGAUUGCCAGAGAUGGGAGUUCUACAUUAUUCUUCAGACCAGUGACAGAGCUCAUCCUUCUUCUUCAGUCUGAAGACCCUGCUCCCUGAUUGGACUAGAAUGAUUGUGGUGAUCUUACAGACACCAGGCGGGGAGUGUGCUGUCAGGACAGAUAUAUGUCUUUUCAUUUGAUUAUAGGUAUGAGCAGUCCUCCAGCUCCAUCUACUGGACACCUGUAGAUAUUUCCUGGUGUUAGUUAUUUGUUUAAUAAAGUUAGCUAUUGACCCCUGAUGUCAUAACUCCAGGUCACAGGAAGUAGGUGUUUUUCAGCCUGUGCAGUUUAUCUCAUGUGCUCUCAGCUUCCUCCGUGCUAAACAGGCCCUAUGCAGCAUUGUUGUUUUACCCUUUCAUCUUCAAAUACUCAUUAAACAAGUUAACAACUUACACAGUGUGGUGUUUUGAAGAAGGGUUAUCUGCCUGUCAAUCUUACUUCAGACAGUGAGCAGGACAGAACAGUAGACAACACCACGCAUAGCUGAUGCAAUACA